rnacentral:rRNA from 1 species
ACAGCAGUAGCCGCGGUAAUACGGAGGGUGCAAGCGUUAAUCGGAAAUACUGGGCGUAAAGCGUGCGUAGGCGGUUCGUUAAGUCUGUUGUGAAAGCCCCGGGCUCAACCUGGGAAUGGCAAUGGAUACUGGCGAGCUAGAGUGUGUCAGAGGAUGGUGGAAUUCCCGGUGUGGCGGUGAAAUGCGUAGAGAUCGGGAGGAACAUCAGUGGCGAAGGCGGCCAUCUGGGACAACACUGACGCUGAGGCACGAAAGCGUGGGGAGUAAACAGGAUUAGAUACCCUGUAGUCCCUGUCUCUUAUACA